rnacentral:rRNA from 1 species
GUGCCAGCAGCCGCGGUAAUUCCAGCUCCAAUAGCGUAUAUUAAAGUUGUUGCAGUUAAAAAGCUCGUAGUUGGAUCUCGGAUCCGGGCGAGCGGUCCGCCUCGCGGCGGUUUACUGCUCGAUGGCGACAGUUCGGGGCGGCCGUUUCGGCGGUUCGUCACGGCUGGCGUCGUUCCCGGUCUCUCACCCUCUGGACGCCCGUCGGUGCUCUUGACUGCAGUGCCGGCGGCGGCCAGGACGUUUACUUUGAAAAAAUUAGAGUGUUCCAAGCAGGCGCGUUCCGCCCGAAUAAUGGUGCAUGGAAUAAUGGAAUAGGACCUCGGUUCUAUUUUGUUGGUUUUCGGAACUAGAGGUAAUGAUUAAGAGGGACAGACGGGGGCAUUCGUAUUGCGGUGUUAGAGGUGAAAUUCUUGGAUCGCCGCAAGACGAACUACCUGCGAAAGCAUU